rnacentral:tRNA from 4 species
GCACCCGUAGCUCAGUUGGAUUAGAGCGCGUCGCUUCGGACGAUGAGGUCGGGGGUUCAAGUCCCUCCGGGUGCG